UUUUUUUCAUUUUACAGCCGCACCUGCGGCAUAUGGGCAUUCCCAGGCUAGGGAUCGGAUUGGAGCUGCAGCUGCCAGCCUACGCCACAGCCACAGCCACCCAGAUCCAGGCUGCGUCUGCAUCCUAUGCCACAGUUCAUAGCAACGCCAGGUGUUUAACCCGCUGAGCGAGGCCAGGGAUCAAACCCGCAUCCUCAUGGAUUACUAGCUGGGUUCUUAAACCACUGAGCCACAACGGGACCUCUGGUAUUUGUCUUUUGAAGUUGCUUAUUUUCUCAUAUGAUUCCCCUGACAUCAAAUUUGCUCCUCAACUAGCCUGGAAGUUCUCAGCAGAAACCAAACUUCUGCCUCCCUCCCUCAUUUCCUUGUUCCUGGUGGAUGUGAGAUGGUUUCUUAAAAAAAAAAAAAAAGAUAAAACAUAAAGUAAUUGAAUAAAGGAAUAGGGUAAAAUGAUAAACUAAGGGUGUAGAAAUACUAUCGUCAGGUUAGUAUGGACUGAUCAACAGUUCAUGCUACGAUGUGGUGUGGUUUUCAAAAGUGAGGUGCAAAUCCUAGCUCUCCACGGAAACCCACACCUUCGGUGACAAAGCUGGCACUGCCCCUGAGGUACCCCACAGGAGAAGUAGAGCAUUUCCUGGUAUGGAGACCAGAGAGAAACCUCUGCUGUGGGUCUACAUAAAAGGAAACCGCAGUAGCCUCAGUAUAUUCUCCCACAAUAUCCUUUCGGCAAACACAAAAUUUCCCAGGUGAUAACCUCACGUCAGCCUCCAAGUCAAGCCUCAGGCAUGAGGCCAGGAAAACGUGAUCAGGGGGGACCAUGUGCUGAUGGUUUGGGCGGGGACUGAGCCACUUCAACCUGGGUUAGGCACUUGCUGGUACCCAGCAGCAUCUCUCCCUGCUCCUUCAAGAACCACCUGGAUUCUCCGCCAUUUAUCGCUAGACCAGAAGGUCCAGGAAGGCAGGACACGGCUCUCUUGCUCAUGUGUUAUCUCCGAGGUUUCCCACAGCCCCAGCACCUGGUACAGCAAUUGCUCAACAAACAGCAUAUCGAAUGAGUGCAUGACGAGGCAAAGGGAAGAAAGAAGCCAAGGGAAGGGAAUUAACGUGGAGGUGCACCAACGCAUCCACGCCAAUGACCACCUUGCAAUCGGCAAACGUUUUGUAUAGUGAGGAUUAUGCAUCAAGGCCCAGGUUGGGCAGUGUUACUGGUCCUAAUUUUCCCUCCCUCCCAGCCCAAGACAGCCGACCACCUCCGCUUCCUCGCCAUCCCCUGCUCAAUCUCCCUUCCGCAUCUCCUUUGAGCUGCAUCUUCCCAUGAACUAGAAACACGGGCAAGUUUUCACCCUUGUGGCCCCGUCCUAGUUCAUCAAGCCAUCGCAGAGAAGAAUCUUUUUUUCCCCUUAUACACUGGAUGUGAAAACACUGCAUUUAAUCCUUCUCACCGGGGAUCGCCGGCCAACAAUUGUUGGAAAUAACGAUUAGCUGGCAAACGCAGCCUCCCUCAAAAGCUUUGAGGGUUCCAGGAGCCACUCAGUGCCGAACUCAACUUGGGAGAAGGACCUCAGCCUGCCUUUCUGUCCUCACUUCCCAGCUGCCAGCAUUUUUAAUGAGAAACGAGGCCAGUGUCAGACAGGGGAGAAGAGAAGGGGACAUUCUGAAACCGAGAAGAGACAUAUAUAAACCAGCAGGCUGACCGCAUUAUCUCAACUGCUGUUUUAUAGCCAUAUUAUGCACUCAAUUAAAAAAAAAAAGUUGAAUGUAAAAAAUUUAUAAAGAUAAGGCCCUGGAGGGGCGGAACCCUGGAGAGGCUUUUCUUUCCCCCCCUAUUAGAUACUUUCCUUGAUUCUAAGGCUGAAAACGCUACAGUCAGCACCAACUUAAUUCCACACUGCAAUUACGGUUAUGCAUUAAACCAGGCCUCUGAACACGACUACCCAAAAGGAACUCAGAGACUAAAUGAAAACCAGACGUGUGGCCGGAGCAGUUGGCACCAGCCGGGAUCCCAAUAUAUAGUAAUGGUAUAGAUUUAAAAUGAAAAUUAAAAGCAGUCAUUACAGUUAAAUUGAUGUCAUGUUCGCCAGCUGUUUAUUCAAAAGGAAAAGAAAGGGAAGAGCCUUCUCUUUACACAUGUUUUCCAGCCAACAUUUUGUGGAACUGAGUUCACCCCACAGAAGUCAUCAGCAUCGAGCGCCAUCAGUGCCAUGACUCGCUGAAAUGGCUCUGUCACUCUUCUUGGUCACACCUACAUCAGCAAUUAACCUACCUGAAUGCAAAUGCAGAGAAAGCCAGCACCUUGCCUGCUGCAGCCCUAGGAAGGUCUGUGCAUUGCGGGCAGGUGGCAACUCAAGAGAAGAAUUCAAGGAUGAAUUCAAGGACUGGGUGGUGUGGGAGACCUUGUUUUAGGGGGAAAAGGGGGAAAAGACUCUCAGCAUAACCAGUGCUCAGAUGUGGGGUACCCGGGCAACUGCUGGGGGGGAGAAAGUAUCUAAGCUUCCUGAUCCCACUGUUCACAAAGUGAGUC
rnacentral:lncRNA from 1 species